CAACAUAGCGUGACCGUCGUUUCUGUAACUGCUCGAUUCAGAUGGCUUAAAAAAGGAGUUAGGGUGUGUUAUAUAUCUCGUGACCCACACCCACUGGCCUGCAGCCCUCAGUGAAGGGCCCCGACCAGAAGUUCCAUCCCGCAGAUAAAAACAAAAACCAGUGGAAAUCCUCCAUCUGCUUUGUGCAAAGAAGACAACUUCCCUCUGUGUGACCUUUGACAUUUACUCAGACCCCACGUUGCUCGCGGG